ACGAGGCGUGCCAGUAUAAAAUUGAACGAGAUAUGUGUCGUGUGUUAACGAGUGAUUUGCGAAAUGCGAGUAGAACAGAAUUUUUGUUCGUUGGACGAUUGGACAGGCCUGAGGCUCCGUUUCUACCAAGCGUUUCUUAUCCCCAUAGGGGAGGAUUGGCGAAAUCCCGCGUGGAACACUUACCUGGAUAAAGGAACAGCCUGGAUCCGAUGACAGCCAAGGGUCGCCUCUUCCACUGGGGAAAAACCAACCCCUUCAACACGAGCGCGUACCCGCAACGGCUGUAUCCAACAAGCUCCGGCAAGGGGGAUGCGGGUCCUGUGAGAAAAACGAUGAAGAGAUGAGCUACGGUGUUUCUAAUCGGCGUAGAGAGAUACAAGUGGUGCUAGUGCGAUUAUUGUGAAAGCUAG
rnacentral:misc_RNA from 1 species